rnacentral:rRNA from 1 species
CACGUAGGCACCAAGCGUUGUCCGGAUUUAUUGGGCGUAAAGAGCUCGUAGGCGGUUCGGUAAGUCGGGUGUGAAAACUUUGGGCUCAACCCAAAGACUGCACCCGAUACUGCUGUGACUUGAGUCCGGUAGGGGAGUGGGGAAUUCCUGGUGUAGCGGUGGAAUGCGCAGAUAACAGGAGGAACACCGGUGGCGAAGGCGCCACUCUGGGCCGGUACUGACGCUGAGGAGCGAAAGCGUGGGGAGCGAACAGG